rnacentral:rRNA from 1 species
UAACCGUGCGAAGGUAGCGUAAUCACUUGUUUUCUAAAUAAAGACCAGUAUGAAAGGCAUCACGAGGAUUAAACUGUCUCCUUUUCCUAAUCAGUGAACCUAAUCUCCCCGUGAAGAAGCGGGGAUUAACGUAUAAGACGAGAAGACCCUGUGGAGCUUAAAACAUUAAACACGUGCCCCCCCCCUCACUACCCAGGUAUCUCACCCGUCGCACUCUGAUUGUAUGUUUUCGGUUGGGGUGACCGCGGAGAAAACUCAACCUCCGCAAUGAAAGAGGCCUCCUCUAAGCAGUAAGUUACAACUUUAAGCAUCAAAAAUUGACAUAAUUGACCCAUAAUUUGAUCAAUGAGCCAAGUUACCCCAGGGAUAACAGCACAAUCCACUUCGAGAGCCCCUAUCGACAAGUGGGCU